rnacentral:rRNA from 1 species
CCUACGGGAGGCAGCAGUGAGGAAUCUUCCACAAUGGGGGCAACCCUGAUGGAGCGACACCGCGUGAAGGAUGAAGGCCUAACGGUUGUAAACUUCUUUUCUGGGGGAGCAUAAUGAGAGUACUUCAGGAAUAAGGGACGGCUAAAUACGUGCCAGCAGCCGCGGUAAUACGUAUGUCUCAAGCGUUAUCCGGAAUUACUGGGUGUAAAGGGUUUGUAGGUUGUUUGUUAAGUAGGGUAUGAAAGACCGGAGCUCAACUCCGUGUUUGUAUUCUAAACUAGCUAACUAGAGUUAGGGAGAGGUAAGCGGAAUUUUAAGUGUAGGGGUGCAAUCCGUAGAUACUUAGAAGAACACCAAAAGCGAAGGCAGCUUACUGGAACUAUACUGACGCUGAAAAACGAAAGCGUGGGGAGCGAAAAGGAUUAGAUACCCUUGUAGUCCACGCCCUAAACGAUGAUAACUUAGUGUUGGGGGUAACCUCAGUGCUGAAGCUAACGCGUUAAGUUAUCCACCUGAGGAGUACGGUCGCAAGAUUAAAACUCAAAUGAAUUGACGG